AUUGCCACGUCUGUCUGCCUGUCAGCACAGCGUUGGAGCCCCUUGGUAGACUUACUUGAUGCCAAGUACCCCCCUGGUGUCUGUGGUCAUUGUGCAUAGAUCUUGGUCUAAAAGGCUGCCUGAACUUCCUCCAUACGUGUCACCACUGCCACCCUCCCUCACCCCACCCCAAACACACACACAGGCCUUAUCUCUAAACUAAAAGGCUGUCUAGUUCCACCUUUCCCACUGCAGUCAACCCUCCCAUAAUUAUAAUAAUUGUGGCCAUCACUGAAUGGCCACCUCUGUGUACCAGGCCCUGGGUCAGAGCAUGUCAUAAGCGUUAUGUCUUGGAAGGGGCUCUUCAUUUCUCCUUUUUUUUUUUUUUUUUUUUUUUUGAGACAGAGUUUUGCUCUUGUACCCCAGGCUGGAGUGCAAGGCACGAUCUCAGCUCACUGCAACCUCCACCUCCCAGGUUCAAGCGAUUCUCCUGCCUCAGCCUCCCAAGUAACUGGGAUUAGGUGCCCACCACCACACCCGACUAAUUUUUUUUUUUUUUUUUUGUAUUUUUAGUAGAGACAGGGUUUUGCCAUGCUAGCCAGGCUUGUCCUGAACUCCUGACUUCAGGCCCACCUCGGCCUCCCAAAGUGCUGGGAUUACAGGCAUGAGCCACCAUGCCUGGCACAUUUCUCCAUUUUUAUUGAAAAGGAUACUGAAGUCUGAAAGAAGAAGUCACUUACUUACCCCAGAGCACACAGCUAGUAAGUGGCAGAGGCAGGACUUGGACCCCAGCUGGCUGACUCCAGAGACCAUGUUCCCACAGCUGGUGGAGAUAGCAGGUCCAGCCACAAAGCUGGUAGCACUCGGCCCCUCCUGUGGAGAAGCUCCCAGUCUGGCAGAGCAGACACGGUGCAGCACAAAGCCUCUAGCUGAGAUAGUGAAGUAAAACUAACAUGUACAGGGACAUCUGAGGAGGAAGUGAUUCUAAGUCAAAGUGGUGGGGCCAGGAAGGCUCCUUUCUGGGGUCAGAGGAGACUCCAGGACCAUCCUUCAUGUAAUAUACCCAUUGUGCUGGUUCCUUAUCUAAAUAAAGGUAUCAGCCAACAUUGAGCAUUUACCGAGCUCCAGGCCCUGUGCUAGGUGCUUAGAUAAGUUACCUCCUGGAGUCCUCAAGCCAGUAGGCCUAGAUACUCUUAUUUUCUACCAUCUUACAAACGAAGAAACUGAAGGUCCGAGAGGGGAAACAACUGGCGUGAGUGCGCAUGCCUCUGAAGUGAUGGAGCUGGGAUUUCAUUUACUCACUUGCCCAUCGGAUGAGUUUAUUCUAUCCCUGCCACCCGCCAGGCCCUGAUCUGGAUGAUGAGGGGCCAGCAGUGAGCAGCACAGACAGGCCUUUGCGUCAUGAGCCUUAGAUCUCAUGGGGAGGGGAGCCACAGGGAACAAACAGACAAGAGAGCACCAGAGGGUGAGGGACGCUCUGCAGAGAGCCUAAAACACAGGGCAUGAUAGGAGCCAUGGGGAUUAUUUUGGAUUUGACAACCCCCGGGUCUGUCCAAUGCCAGUGCUGGAGCUCUUGGCCACUGGUCCUCACUGUCACUCCCUGCUGAGCUCCUGCAACUUUUGGUUGAGGCAUUUGCCCCAUUAUACCUUGUUUUAUGUACUUAUGUGCUUUUCUGGUUUUUUUUCUUAAGGGGUCAACCUCACCUUAUUCUUUUCUGUAUCCUAGUGGCACUGAGUACGUGCUAGAUGAUGACAGAUGGGAGAGAGCUGGGGAUUCCAUUGGAAGGGGCACCCAAGCCCAGGCAGUGGCACUGGCUGAGGAUGGCCAGUUGGGGCCUUGGCACCAUAAUGAGACCUUUUAGAGGUGAAGGCUGUGUUCUGGUGACACCAGUGAAGAGAAGGGUCAGCCAGUGCAGGGCCAGUGGGAGGAGCACAGUGUGGACGGAAGGGCUGGGACAGAGGAGCCAGCAGGAGCCCACAACAUGGUGCUCCUGCGAGGAGGUCAGGGCUUAGCCUAGAACAGCAGCAGGGGCGCAAAAAAACACCUGAGAAACUGUGUGAAGAGGCUGCUGCUGGACUUGGGUUGGAGGUGGCCCUGAGACUUUGAGAAUAGUUAUGCUAACAAAAAGGAGGAGGUUUAGAAGGAAAGCUGGUUGUGUGGGAGAUAAAAAGCCAAUAGCCUUCACUGAGUGCUCAUCAUGCAUGAGGCCCUGUGCUAAAAUCUCUGCCUUGUCUCACUGAAUUCCCAUUACAAUCCAGCAGGGUCAGUGUUCUCAUUAUGCCUGCUUUACAGACGAAGACCUAAGGCCAGAGGCUAAGCCAUUUGCCACACACCACAGAGGCAGUAAGUGGCCUAGACAGGGCUUGAUCUCCUGUCUGUCUGCCCAGUCUGUGCCCCUCCAACCACCCCACCCCCAAUCCACUACCUCCUGCUUUUAAUGACUUGGAUGUGGAAUCAGUUACAUCUGAGAACAAACGACAUAGUCUAGGGGCUGCAGCCCUGGGGAGAAUGUGUGCCUGAGCCCGUGAAUUUAGGGUUUGGGGCACAAAGCAAAAUUUGGAGCUAUAGAAGUGGGGUUUUACUAAGGAGAGAAGAGCCAAGAAAUUGAAGAAUAAUCUGAGGUGGGAGAGAGGGCAGGAGGCAGAAGAUGUCACCCAUCAGAGGCUGCAGAGGGCAGGAUGGAUAGAUGAGCAGAGGCCAAGGCCUUCGGUUGGGGAGAAGGAGAUCUUGGCUGAGCUCAAAGGGUGGUUUUCCUGGAAGCACAGGAGGCCAGGCUCUAAGGGUUGAGAAUACAAGGGAGGAAGUGAAAGGAGCAGGAGGCUCUUAGAGGGCUGGAGUUUUGAAAAUCAAGAAGGACCAAGGACACCAUCAGGUUGAGUGCCCUCCUCUCAAAUGCAGAAACUGAGGCCCAGAGAGAGGAGUUUGCCCCAGACCACGGAACUAGGUGUUCUGACACCCUUUUCAUUGCACCAUGCUGCCUCUCUUGACAUGAAGAACAGAGAAAGAAUAAAGUGUGAAGACAUGCCGUGGCGAUUUUAAGGUGCACAGACUUUAUCUGUUGGAGGCAGAAGGAUGCCUCGCUGGAGGUACGAGAGCGGUAAGGUUGAAAGAGAACCAGAACAUUAGUUCAGAUGUUGGCUGUGGCGUGUACCAGUCAAGGGACUUAAGUGACUUCACCCUGAGCCUCACUUUCAUCUUCUGUAAAAUGAUAAUUAUACCAUAAUGUCAAUAAUAUUAGGUUGAUGAAAAAGUAAUUGCAGUUUUUGCCAUUGGAAAUAAUGGCAUAUAAACCUGAGGCAUUUCAAUAGAGAGAGGAGACAUACCAAACACAGAGCUUCUCAACGGCUAUGAAAAGAUGAUGAGAAAGUCCCAGAGAAGAAAGAAUGGAGAGACUUUUCUUUCUUUUUUUUCUUUUCUUUUCUUUCUCACUUCCAUUGUAUUAUAAUCCCAGCCCCCAAUGUGCAUUGUGGGUGCUGGUGGGGCAGACAUGACCCUAUGGCACCUGCAUCACGGAGGGCCACAGCCUCCACAAAUGCUCACAACUUGUAAAAGUCUUUUCACAGGGUCAGCAUCCAGCCUGCCCACUACCGUUGCCCGUUAUCAUUGCAGGUUAAUUUUGUUGCAGCUAUUGAUGUGUACGAAGAUGGAGAAGCUGGUUUGCUGUUGUGUUACAACUACAGUUGCAUCUAUAAAAAGGUUUGCCCCUUUAAUGGUGGCUCUUUUUUGGUUCAACCUUCUGCGUCAGAUUUCCAGUUCUGUUGGAACCAGGCUCCCUAUGCAAUUGUCUGUGCUUUCCCAUAUCUCCUGGCCUUCACCACCGACUCCAUGGAGAUCCGCCUGGUGGUGAACGGGAACCUGGUCCACACCGCAGUCGUGCCGCAGCUGCAGCUGGUGGCCUCCAGGUCGGAUAUAUACUUCACAGCAACUGCAGCUGUGAAUGAGGUCUCAUCUGGAGGCAGCUCCAAGGGGGCCAGUGCCCGAAAUUCUCCUCAGACACCCCCGGGCCGAGAUACUCCAGUAUUUCCUUCUUCCCUGGGGGAAGGUGAAAUUCAAUCAAAAAAUCUGUACAAGAUUCCACUUAGAAACCUCGUGGGCAGAAGCAUCGAACGACCUCUGAAGUCGCCCUUAGUCUCCAAGGUCAUCACCCCACCCACUCCCAUCAGUGUGGGCCUCGCUGCCAUUCCAGUCACGCACUCCUUGUCCCUGUCUCGCAUGGAGAUCAAAGAAAUAGCAAGCAGGACCCGCAGGGAACUACUGGGCCUCUCGGAUGAAGGUGGACCCAAGUCAGAAGGAGCGCCAAAGGCCAAAUCAAAACCCCGGAAACGGUUAGAAGAAAGCCAAGGAGGCCCCAAGCCAGGGGCAGUGAGGUCAUCUAGCAGUGACAGGAUCCCAUCAGGCUCCUUGGAAAGUGCUCCUACUUCCGAAGCCAACCCUGAGGGGCACUCAGCCAGCUCUGACCAGGACCCUGUGGCAGACAGAGAGGGCAGCCCGGUCUCCGGCAGCAGCCCCUUCCAGCUCACGGCUUUCUCCGAUGAAGACAUUAUAGACUUGAAGUAACAGAGUUGACUCUCAUUUGCCAUCUUUAGUUUUCUUAUGGAGGUUUAUACUCUUUAAACAGUUCUGAUGUAAUUUCUCAACAAAAUGUGGCUUUUAGCCUGUCAGUGAUCUAUUGGACCAAACCUUCUGCACACUCGGCCAGUUCCCUCUCCAAUGUCCGGUGCCAUCUUUCCUGACCUUUGUUUCUUUCUGUUCAGGAACCAUCAGUCCCCUUGUAAUAAAGGUGGUAGAUUUCAUUGAGGUUUUAGAUUGAAACUUUGAAUAAAUCAAAAAUACUCAUUCUU
rnacentral:sRNA from 1 species